rnacentral:rRNA from 1 species
AGUUACCAGCACGUUAUGUGGGCACUCUAAGGAGACUGCCGGUGACAACCGGAGGAAGGUGGGGAUGACGUCAAGUCAUCAUGGCCCUUACGGCCUGGGCUACACACGUGCUACAAUGGUCGGUACAAAGGGUUGCCAAGCCGCGAGGUGGAGCUAAUCCCAUAAAACCGAUCGUAGUCCGGAUCGCAGUCUGCAACUCGACUGCGUGAAGUCGGAAUCGCUAGUAAUCGUGAAUCAGAAUGUCACGGUGAAUACGUUCCCGGGCCUU